rnacentral:rRNA from 1 species
GAUGAACGCUGGCGGCGCGCCUAACACAUGCAAGUCGAACGAUUAAAGCACCUUCGGGUGUGUAUAAAUUGGCGAACGGCUGAGUAACACGUGGGCAACCUGCCCCUCUCAUUGGGAUAGCCACGGGAAACCGUGGAUAAUACCGAAUACUUCGGGACUUCCGCAUGGAAGACUCGAGAAAGCUCCGGCGGAGAGGGAUGGGCCCGCGGCCUGUUAGCUUGUUGGUGGGGUAAUGGCCUACCAAGGCAAUGAUGGGUAGCUGGGUUGAGAGACCGACCAGCCAGAUUGGGACUGAGACACGGCCCAGACUCCUACGGGAGGCAGCAGUGGGGAAUCUUGCACAAUGGGCGAAAGCCUGAUGCAGCGACGCCGCGUGCGGGAUGAAGGCCUUCGGGUUGUAAACCGCUUUCAGCAGGGACGAGGCGAAAGUGACGGUACCUGCAGAAGAAGCCCCGGCUAACUACGUG